AUGAACUUUAUGUAUGAACUUUUAUUAAUUUGGUGUUUUUGGUGUUGUGUAUUGAAGAUGAGCCGACAAUGGAUGUACGAUGACCGAUGCUCUCCCGAGUUCAUUAAUGGCGUGCAAACUUUUCUGUUUGUGGCUGAGGCAAACAAGCGGGCGGAUGGUUUUAUGCCUUGUCCAUGUGCUGUCUGUAAGAAUAGUCAAAAUUACUCUAAGUCAAGAACCAUUCACGUCCACCUGUUUAAGUCAGGUUUCGUGCCCCACUAUAAUGUUUGGACCAAGCACGGAGAAAGAGGGGUUAUGAUGGAAGACAAUGAAGAAGAAGAGGACGACGGCAGCUAUCCUGGCCAUGUGUUCCCUGAAUACGAUGAUACAACAAUGGGGGAAGAAGCUGAGCCGGCAAUGCGGGAAAAAACUAAAGAAGAGGCAUCAGAUGAGCCCGUUGAUGAUCUAGGUCGGGCCAUUGCCGGUGCAAAGAGAAACUGCGCAAGUGAUUUGGAGAAGAAGAAGUUGCAGCGCAUGUUAGAGGAUCACAAAAAAUUGUUGUACCCGAAUUGCGUAGGUGACAAGAAAAAGCUGGGCACCACACUGGAAUUGCUGCAAUGGAAGGCAGAGAAUGGUGUAUCUGACAAGGGAUUUGGAAAGUUGCUGGUAAUGAUAAAGAAUAUGCUUCUAAAGGACAAAGAAUUGCCGAGAGUACGUACAAAGCAAAGAAGGCUGUCUGCCCUCUAG
rnacentral:rRNA from 1 species